CCUUCUCUGCUCCCCGGCUCUCGAGAGCGUGCACGUGUGUGGGUGUGCGAGACGACCCCUGAAAGCAACAGGGUCGUUUCUCUCUCUUUACUUAGCUUACUCAAACACGUGAUUAUGAUUCUGCUCAGUGAGACCUUUCGGUGCGUGUGUGGCUCUGAAGAACUCGGGAAGUCUUCGUCUGUUUUGAUUUGAAAAAUAAAAAUAAAAAACACGAGAGAAUAAUAAAAAAAGGGAAUAAGACCUGGACAUAAGCAACGCAAAAGACCCGGACACCCGUGGACUUGCCGUGAGAGAGAAAAAAAAAAGAGAGA